rnacentral:rRNA from 1 species
UACGGAGGGGGCUAGCGUUGUUCGGAAUUACUGGGCGUAAAGCGCACGUAGGCGGCUUUGUAAGUUAGAGGUGAAAGCCCGGGGCUCAACCCCGGAAUUGCCUUUAAGACUGCAUCGCUUGAAUCCGGGAGAGGUGAGUGGAAUUCCGAGUGUAGAGGUGAAAUUCGUAGAUAUUCGGAAGAACACCAGUGGCGAAGGCGGCUCACUGGACCGGUAUUGACGCUGAGGCGCGAAAGCGUGGGGAGCAAACAGG